AUGGACAACCUUGGACAUAGGGAAAAUGGGAGGCAAAGGCCAGACCCAUAUAAAGCACUUCAUACUCAGUGGAUGAUGCCCCAAAGGCAAAUGAAAGACCACCACAGCAUGAACCUCCUAGCACUAAUGAGUGAGAGGGACACCGCCAUCAUGGAGAGAGACCAUGCUCUGGCUGAGAAGAAAGCUGCCAUGGCUGAGAGAGACAUGGCGUUUGCCCAGCGGGACUCUGCAAUGGCUGAACGGAAUGCUGCAAUCGUCGAACGAGACAAUGCCCUUGCCGCACUUGAACUAGCCCGUACAAAUGGAUUUAAUAUGAAUAAUGGGACCGGAUUCAACCCAGGAUCUCUCAAUGGAGCAAAGAACUUCCACCACCAGGACCAGCAGCCCCAUGCUCAAUCAUCGCCACUGCAACUGGCAGAUUCUCCAUAUGACCAUGCGAGGGAAAUGCACAUAUCAGACGCAUACCCGAUCUCAACAGCCCCGGUGAGUGCUGCUGGAAAGGCAAAGAAGCCCAAGAAGAACAGUUCCCAAGCAUCUCCACUGAAGAGGCCGUCAGGCGUGCUCCGGAAAACCAAGAAAGCCGGCGGUGACUGGAGAGACGCCGGAAUGUCUGGUGUCGGGGAGGAUCCAGCUCGCGCCGCUUCUGAGAUGAAGAACGAGUGGAAGGACCAGGACCUUGGCCUGAACCAGGUCUCGUUCGACGAGUCGUCCAUGCCUGCGCCUGCCUGCUCGUGCACGGGGGUCCUCCGGCAGUGCUACAAGUGGGGCAACGGCGGGUGGCAGUCGUCCUGCUGCACCAUGAGCAUGUCCAUGUACCCGCUCCCGGUGAUGCCCAACAAGCGCCACGCGCGCAUGGGCGGACGGAAGAUGAGCGGCAGCGCGUUCACCAAGCUGCUCAGCCGACUAGCGGCUGAGGGCCACGAUCUCUCGGCGUCGGUGGACCUCAAGGACCACUGGGCCAAGCAUGGCACAAACAGGUACAUCACCAUCCGGUAG
rnacentral:rRNA from 1 species